rnacentral:rRNA from 1 species
GGGUUGUAGGACACUCUAUACGGAGUUACAAAAGAACAUGUUAGACGAAUCAUCUGGAAAGAUGAAUCAAAGAAGGUAAUAAUCCUGUAGUCGAAAACAUAUUCUCUCUUGAGUGGAUCCUGAGUACGACGGAGCACGUGAAAUUCCGUCGGAAUCUGGGAGGACCAUCUCCUAAGGCUAAAUACUCUCUAGUGACCGAUAGUGAACCAGUACCGUGAGGGAAAGGUGAAAAGUACCCCGGAAGGGGAGUGAAAGAGAACUUGAAACCGUGUGCUUACAAGUAGUCAGAGCCCGUUAAUGGGUGAUGGCGUGCCUUUUGUAGAAUGAACCGGCGAGUUACGAUCUGAUGCAAGGUUAAGCAGCAAAUGUGGAGCCGCAGCGAAAGCGAGUCUGAAUAGGGCGUUGAGUAUUUGGUCGUAGACCCGAAACCAGGUGAUCUACCCUUGGUCAGGUUGAAGUUCAGGUAACACUGAAUGGAGGACCGAACCGACUUACGUUGAAAAGUGAGCGGAUGAACUGAGGGUAGCGGAGAAAUUCCAAUCGAACUUGGAGAUAGCUGGUUCUCUCCGAAAUAGCUUUAGGGCUAGCCUCAAGUGAUGAUUAUUGGAGGUAGAGCACUGUUUGGACGAGGGGCCCCUCUCGGGUUACCGAAUUCAGACAAACUCCGAAUGCCAAUUAAUUUAACUUGGGAGUCAGAACAUGGGUGAUAAGGUCCGUGUUCGAAAGGGAAACAGCCCAGACCACCAGCUA